rnacentral:lncRNA from 1 species
AUAUAAAAAUACAUUUCCCUAUCUUACAGUAAGAUCAUAAAAAUUAUAUAUUAACCAAAUAUAUGAAUACUUUUAAGACACAUAAUAUACAUAUUUUUAUAAUUCUAAGAUAAAAAAUCUACGGACUGCAUAACAAAUAUUUAUACUUUAAAUUAAUUACUUGAUAAAUUUACUGAGUCUAUUACUUAUUAAUUAUUUGGUUGUUUUAUUAAAAUAAGACUAAAUUUAUCUUUAAUAUAAUUAUAUUUUUAAUGUCUAUAGUUAUUUAAAAAAUAAAAAUUUGAAGAACUUAAAAAAAAAAAAGAAAAAAA